rnacentral:rRNA from 1 species
CAGUAGCCGCGGUAAUACGGAGGGGGCUAGCGUUGUUCGGAAUUACUGGGCGUAAAGCGCACGUAGGCGGCUUGGUAAGUUAGAGGUGAAAGCCCAGGGCUCAACCCUGGAAUUGCCUUUAAGACUGCCGAGCUAGUAGGUGAGAGAGGUAAGUGGAAUUCCGAGUGUAGAGGUGAAAUUCGUAGAUAUUCGGAAGAACACCAGUGGCGAAGGCGGCUUACUGGCUCAUUCUAGACGCUGAGGUGCGAAAGCGUGGGGAGCAAACAGGAUUAGAUACCCGCGUAGUCCCUGUCUCUUAUAC